UUUUUCACAUUCAAAGUGUUUUUUUAUUUUUCUAAAAGUUCUUAGCUUGCCAGUAUUUUCGACAGGUUGAAACUGCUCUGCCCAAUACAAAAUGAAUCAAAAUGAAUCUGUCAAAUGAAUCAUUUGUGCAGGGCGGCAAGGGAUGGGUCAUCCCACCAUAACACUUAUAUAUGCUAAUGUAUAUUGGGUGCCACGAUACGAGAUGCUAACUGUGCAUCCAAACUUGUUAGUACCUGCUUA